CAGAGAACAUCGCCCUCACGGGUGACUCUCCAACCCUAUGUUAUUAAAACCUUUGUUGCUUUGGCGAGCCGCUUCGGCCACCGGCUCUUGCUGGUGCGCGCUCGCCAGAGGACCACAAACUCUGUUUAUUAGUGUCGUCUGAGUACUAUAAUAAUAGUUAAAACUUUCAACAACGGAUCUCUUGGUUCUGGCAUCGAUGAAGAACGCAGCGAAAUGCGAUAAGUAAUGUGAAUUGCAGAAUUCAGUGAAUCAUCGAAUCUUUGAACGCACAUUGCGCCCCGUGGUAUUCCGCGGGGCAUGCCUGUUCGAGCGUCAGUACAACACUCAAGCUCUGCUUGGUAUUGGACCGCAUCAGUUCUGAUCGGUCUUAAAAUCAGUGGCGGUGCCAUCGUGCUCUAAGCGUAGUAAUACUCCUCGCUACAGGGUCUCGGUGCGUGCUUGCCAGCAACCCCCAACUUUCUAAG
rnacentral:misc_RNA from 1 species